AAGUCGUAACAAGGUCUCCGUAGGUGAACCUGCGGAGGGAUCAUUACUGAGCGAGGGUCUCCGACCCGACCUCCAACCCUUUGUGAUUAAACCAAUGUUGCCUCGGGGGUGACCCGGACUCCGUCCGGAAACCCCCGGUGGACCACUUCAAAACACUGCAUCUUUGCAUCGGAUUCAAAAAGUUUAAUUGAUUAAAACUUUCAACAACGGAUCUCUUGGUUCUGGCAUCGAUGAAGAACGCAGCGAAAUGCGAUAAGUAAUGUGAAUUGCAGAAUUCAGUGAAUCAUCGAGUUUUUGAACGCACACUGCGCCCCUUGGUAUUCCGGGGGGCAUGCCUGUUCGAGCGUCAUUUCACCAAUCAAGCCUGGCUUGGUGUUGGGUCCCGGGGGCCACCCGGACCUCAAAUUCGUCGGCUGGCAAGCUCUGAUCUCAGCGUCGUGGUUAAUCAUUCGCGAGGAGAGGAGCUUACCGUGCCGUUAAACCUCAAUCAAAGGUUGACCUCGGAUCAGGUAGGAAUACCCGCUGAACUUAA
rnacentral:rRNA from 1 species